GUGUAGUGUGAAAGAAGAGCGAGCUAACACUCCCCUAGACAAAGCUGCUUUUAUAUAUAUAUUUUCAACUACGACACCUUUCUAAAAAAAAUUAAAUGAAAAUUAUUAAAUAGCAAGUUACUAACUUUU
rnacentral:ncRNA from 1 species